UCCUUUUCUGCUUUGCAAAAGUGCUUGCUGGCAGCGGGGAGGAGCUGAAAGUGGACUGGGGUGGGGUUUUCUGAAGAGUCAGGGUGGCGUGUUUGGAAAGCCUUGUAUGGCAAGGGCAUGUGAAUUCCUGGGGAGGGCCUGGCAAGCUUUACUGCUCCGUGGAAGAUCAAAGCUAAAAGGCCCUUUCUGCAAACCUAGCAAACGUGAGAGCUUCACGUGAUUGGAGAACUGACCUCACCCUGAGGUUAGUGGUGACUAGGGGGAGAAAGACAAGCUGGGAGGAGAGAUUUCCCUUAAAUCAAGAACUUAAGCAUCUUUUGCUAUGGUGACAAGGAAGCUCCAGAGAGUUCUGGGAAUCCUGGGAAGCAAGCUACCUUGGAGUCAGAGAAAAGCAUACGGGGAAACUGAGCCAGGAGGACCACUUUGAGCUCAGUGAUUUGAGACUUAAACAACAUGAGACCCUCAAAGCUGGAAUUAGGGGUACCAAGGAGAAAGAAAGCUGAAUGUUAAGGUCAAUGAUCUUGACCGGGUUAACCACUGAUCAUCUGAAGGUUAGACUUUAGCCCUGUUCCCUCGUGCCUAACGGGCUUGGAAAAGAGGGGGAGCAAGCAUUUCUCCCGCUGCCCUGGCCCUUAGGUCCAGAGCUAGGAAGCUGCUGCAGAGCACCAUGGGAGGAACUGGGAGGAGCUAAGACAAACAAGGCCAGAGGCUUUUCAGGAAAACUUGGUUUUGAAGUCAGCCUCCGCUCCCUCUCCCUCCUCCCAGCCAACUGUGUGGAGGGAGAGCUGGGAGUGUCCAAGUGCUGGGGUUACAGAUGUGUUACCUAUACACCCAGUCAAAGAAGUGUCUUUGGAGACUCCAUUUGAAGUAGGUAUACCCAUAUGAGCUCACUCACUUCCCACUCUGUGGUAUGUGUGUGUGUGUGUGUGUGUGUUUUCUCCAGGGAAUAAAAUGAAAAGUAGAGCUUUUCCUUAACUCUAAAAAAUUCUAAUCUGUAAACUGUAUUCCUUUCUCUAUCAGGAGCUUCUGGAAGAACAGCAGAGAAACCAGGGAACCAGGGCCACCAAAGAAAUGUGUCAAAGGGUGGUGGGGACAAGACUGGAUGUGUGACCUCUCUUUGCCCUAAACCUUGGCUUGAGACAACAGGUGUAGGAGUUAGGGAGCUGGCUCAGCAGUUAAGAGCAAUGGCUGCUCUUGCAGAGGAUCAAUUUCCAGCACCCACAUGGCAGCUCACAACCAUCUGUAACUCUAGCUCCAGACAAUCUGGUAUAGUUUUCUGGCCUCUGUGGGCACCAGAGACACACAUACACAAGGACAAAAUACCCAUAGACAUAAAGGAAAAAUUAAGUUAAAUAAAAAUAAAACAAGACAUACCUUAUAGCCAGUAGGAUGGUGGCUGAUCAUGCCUCUAAGCCAAGAAACCGAGAAGCUGAGGCAAGGGGAUUACUAUGAGUUCAAAGUGAGCCUGGGCUACUUAAAGUUCCAGGCCACUGAUUCUUGGUGACAGCAUGAGACUUGUCUCAAUCAAUCAAUCAAUCAAUCAAUUCAUCAAAGAUCUCUACUACAGCAACCACACAACAUCCUUCCCCUCCCACCAGCCAGCCAGACAUUCUAGCUUAACACACACACACACACACACACACACACACACACACACACACACGUACACACACGUACACACACGUACACACACGUACACACACGUACACACACACGUACACAAACUCAUAGAGACACACAUAGACACAUAUAUACACACAUAUACAAACACACAGACACACACACACAUACACACACGCGUAUGUAAAGCCAGUCUUAGCCCCCAAGAGGUCAGACCCAAUGACUAGCACUCCAUAAAGUAUAGCCCCAGAACCCUAGUGUGGGUACUUCCACUCGGUUUCUUUGAAGUCUGGGAUUCUGAGAAGUGACCUCACUAUUUAGAGGCUUUGUUGGAUUCUCUGUGUUUGUAUUUUCAACUAUAUCCUUAGUUUUCCCAGGAUUCUUUGAACUGGAAAAGCCAUCAAAGAUAGAAAACCAGAGCUGGAGAGAUGGCUCAGCAGCUAAGAACACUAGCUGCUUUUACAGAGCACCUGGUUUCGGUUCCUAGCACUCACAUGGUGGCUCACAACUGAGUGUAACUCCAGUUUCUGGGAGGAUCUGAUGCCCUGUUCUGCCUUCCUCUGACACCAGACAUGUAUCUGGUGCAUAUACAUCAGACAGACAGACAGACAAAACACACAUACACCUAAAAUAAAAAUUAAAAAAAAAAAUAAUAAGCUGGGCGGUGGUGACACACACCUCUAACCCCAGCACUUAGGAGGCAGAGGCAGGUGGAUUUCUGAGUUCAAGGCCAGCCUGGUGAGUUCCAGGAUAGUCAGGGCUACACAGAGAAAUCCUGUCUUGAAAGAAAAAUUGUUUUUAAAGAAAAGUAGCAAAAGGAAAGAUGGAGGACUCUAAGCUCUGACUUGAGCUCCUCUGUAUACUUCUGAGGGGCUAGGGGUUUAUGAUCAUGAAUAUAAACAUCACCUUUACAUGUGUAUGUAUGCACUGAGUGUACAUGGCCAGGUGGGUGUAUGACCCAAGACCUAUUCUCCUUGACGGUAGGUUGUUCUGGGUAACACGACAACACCCUGUGCAGACCUCAAGUGGCCUCAAUCUUGGGCAGACUGCUUGACUGAGUGACUUGAGGGUGGGACCCUAAUGAAAAUAGGUCAGGCUUCAGUAGGUGCCUUCCCAUCCCCCUCCUUUCUCACCAAGGACUCAUUGCCCAGGUUAAAAACCUGUUGGCCCAGGUGAUGCAAACCUGGGACAGAAACCCAGAAACCCGGGGAUGCCCCUGAAUCAGGGAACCCGGGGAUGCCCCUGAAUCAGGGAACCAGCUAUUGACUUACAAGAGAGGCUCAUUUCCUAUCGUUCUGGAUCGUUUUCCUGGUUUCUAAAAGGCUGGUUUUCCCAGUCUCGCCCAAAAAUCUUACCAUUGGGGGAGAACCUCAAGACAGGAGGCACAAAGUCUGAGUUAAUUUUGUUAUUGUGAAAACUUGAGGAAAGAAAGGAUAAGGCAAGAUCUAGGCAGGCCCGAAUGGGUUCAAUGGGUGUGUUUUCCCACCUUUACUGGACCACAAUUCUUUCCAAGGAAAUCAGAAAGUAAACUUCAUAUUAAGUGCCAACUGUAUGCCAGGCACUCUGCUAAGAACCUUAUACACGUGAUCUCCUUUGGUUUUCAUAGCUUUUCAGGGCAGUAGGUCACAUUCUUAUAUAUUGGAGAUCAGGAAACUGAGACUUAGAGAUAUUUAUUAACCUGGCCAUGGUGCUGGAAGGGACUAGGAGAUUUGUCGUGAAACUGUAUUUACAGAACACUACCAAAGAAGGACAGCAUUAAUCGAGGGGAUUGGAAGGGCGAGGCUCCCUAGCCUCACUUGGAACAACCACUACAUGUCACUGUCAGUCAGCAUGGCGAUCUAUGUUGGGGGUUCAGUGCCAGGCUUGAAGGAGAAAUUCAGCUAGCCAGAUCUCCCUUCCCAGGGAGACUGAGCGAUGAAGAGGAUACAUCCCAAGCAACAAUCGUGCUGGGCGGGAGGUGCAGCACCAAGAGAAGUGUCUGCUUCCUCCCACACAAGAGCCUUGGCCUCCCAGAACCUCUCCUCUAACUCCAGCAUUUCCUCUUCCCUUAAACUCUUUCUCCAUCCUAUGUUCCCAUUAUCUGGUUGUAGAGGGUAGGAACGGCCCAGAGUAGGAUGCAAGAACCAAACCAACCAGCAAUUAAAAAACAAACAAACAAAACACACACACACACACACACACACAAAACAGGGAGCUGGAAAGAUGGCUCAGCGGUUAAGAGCACUGACUGCUCUUCCAGAGGUCCUGAGUUCAAUUCCCAGCAACCACAUGGUGGCUCACAACCAUCUGUAACGGCAUUUGAUGCCCUCUUCUGGUGUGUCUGAAGACAACUAUAGUGUAUCCAUAUAAAUAAAGCCUUUAAAAAACAAACAAAAAACAAAAUUUCCUCGUGGACUGCUUCAGAGGCAGGGGACUCAAGCAGCCAUCUGAGUUCUUUAUCAAGUCCCCUAAUUAUGGGGUCCUCAGCUGGUGAUGAAUGAGAACAAGGGCGGAGAGGCCAGGGCCCUCAGAGCCUCUCAGUGCUUCCUUCCAGGAAUGUGUUAAAACUGGGUUGAGCCGGGUGUGGUGGCACACGCCUUUAAUCCCAGCACUUGGGAGGCAUAG